UCAUUACCGAGUGAGGGCCCUCUGGGUCCAACCUCCCACCCGUGUCUAUCGUACCUUGUUGCUUCGGCGGGCCCGCCGUUUCGACGGCCGCCGGGGAGGCCUUGCGCCCCCGGGCCCGCGCCCGCCGAAGACCCCAACAUGAACGCUGUUCUGAAAGUAUGCAGUCUGAGUUGAUUAUCGUAAUCAGUUAAAACUUUCAACAACGGAUCUCUUGGUUCCGGCAUCGAUGAAGAACGCAGCGAAAUGCGAUAAGUAAUGUGAAUUGCAGAAUUCAGUGAAUCAUCGAGUCUUUGAACGCACAUUGCGCCCCCUGGUAUUCCGGGGGGCAUGCCUGUCCGAGCGUCAUUGCUGCCCUCAAGCACGGCUUGUGUGUUGGGCCCCCGUCCCCCUCUCCCGGGGGACGGGCCCGAAAGGCAGCGGGCGGCACCGCGUCCGGUCCUCGAGCGUAUGGGGCUUUGUCACCUGGCUCUGUAGGCCCGGCCGGCGUCCAGCCGACACCCAACUUUAUUUUUCUAAGGUUGACUCUCGGAUCAGGCUAGGGAUACCCGCUGAACUUAAGCAUA
rnacentral:rRNA from 1 species